GGCCUUGACAUACUAAGAACUUUCCAGAGAUGGAUUGGUGCCUUUCGGGAACUUAGAUACAGGUGCUGCAUGGCUGUCGUCAGCUCGUGUCGUGAGAUGUUGGGUUAAGUCCGCAACGAGCGCAACCCUUUUCCUUAUUUGCCAGCGGGUAGUGCCGGGAACUUUAAGGAUACUGCCAGUGACAAACUGGAGGAAGGCGGGGACGACGUCAAGUCAUCAUGGCCCUUACGGCCAGGGCUACACACGUGCUACAAUGGUCGGUACAAAGGGUUGCUACCUCGCGAGAGGAUGCUAAUCUCAAAAAGCCGAUCGUAGUCCGGAUCGCAGUCUGCAACUCGACUGCGUGAAGUCGGAAUCGCUAGUAAUCGCGGAUCAGAAUGCCGCGGUGAAUACGUUCCCGGGCCUUGUACACACCGCCCGUCACACCAUGGGAGUUUGUUGCACCAGAAGUAGGUAGUCUAACCGCAAGGAGGACGCUUACCACGGUGUGGCCGAUGACUGGGGUGAAGUCGUAACAAGGUAGGCGUAGAUGA
rnacentral:rRNA from 1 species